rnacentral:rRNA from 1 species
CAGCCGCCACGGUAAUACGAAGGGGGCUAGCGUUAAUCGGAAUUACUGGGCGUAAAGCGUGCGCAGGCGGUUGUGUAAGACAGGUGUGAAAUCCCCGGGCUUAACCUGGGAACUGCGCUUGUGACUGCACAGCUAGAGUAUGGCAGAGGGGGGUGGAAUUCCACGUGUAGCAGUGAAAUGCGUAGAUAUGCGGAGGAACAUCGAUGGCGAAGGCAAUCCCCUGGGCCUGCACUGACGCUCAUGCACGAAAGCGUGGGGAGCAAACAGGAUUAGAUACCCGCGUAGUCCCUGUCUCUUAUAA